GCCUUCUUCCAUCUCUCUACAUCCUGCCAUAUCCCAUUUGCAGAGAGAGCUCCAAUUCCACCACCUCUGGUUCGGUUUCGUCUGGCUCGGACCACGAUAUCACAAGACUCGCGGAGAUGGCGGGCUGGGGACCGCCGCCGGGAGGGCCUCCCGGGCCGCCGGGGCCGUGCGGUUGCUUGUACUUUUGCUGCGACGGAAUCAGCCGGGGGAUAUCUUCAUGGUGAGUUCGCAUUUCUAACGCUUGCGCUGAGUUCUGAAAUUCUAGGAGCGUCAGUUAAGCACUGCCAACCCAACGUUGGAACACAAUUCGUUGCAUGACAUCACACAUAACAUGUUGCUUUCUUGCUGAGACUUCUGGGAUUAUACCAUCUGAGAGUUACUUUGUUUCGUAAGAUGAGGCCUUUUUUAACUUUUUCUUGCUUUCCGAAUCGUUCUAACAUAUUCUUGGCGCUGUUGCCAGUUUUUAUGUCCUCUGCUGCUGCUGUAUCUUCGAGAGCUGCUGCGGGCCGGUGUUUGGUGGCCGACCAGGGCCUCCAGGCCCUUUUGGUGGUCCACCGGGUCCCCCUGGUCCAUUUGGAGGGCCCCACGGCGGGCCUCCCGGGCCAUUCGGUGGUCCACCAGGCCCUCCCGGUGGACCUCCCCGCUUCUGAUCAGCCUGCAGUGUAAGUCUUGUACUCGACGGCCAGUGGACAGACAUGUACUAC
rnacentral:lncRNA from 1 species